rnacentral:misc_RNA from 1 species
AGAAAUGGCCGCUGCUGCUUCACUCAUUUCCACAUUCUUCCACUAUUCCUCUCCACUUUCUCGCUCGCCAAACAGAAGACCACCGCUUUCUGUCUCUAAACUUAAAUGCCUAUCUCUCCACAGAAACCAAUACCAAAAUGAUAACUCUGGCAUCCUCUGUUUCCUUGAUCAAGUCCUCCACUCUCAUUCUCACUCUCUAACCCCACACAACCUCUUAUUUACCAAAAAGCCCCCCUCCUCCUCCUCCUCCUCCUCUUCUGCUUUAGAC